GGCAGUUCUUGGGUGACAUACCCUGGAAUCGGGCUCCCUCCUCUCUGGUUCCAGGGUGCGUCACCGGAGUACCGCA
rfam:Myotis lucifugus cont2.41263, whole genome shotgun sequence.